rnacentral:tRNA from 1 species
CGUCAGGUAGCUCAGUGGUCUAGAGCAGUCGCCUGGCAAGCAAAAGAUCCGGGUUCGAUUUUCGGUCUAGCGU